rnacentral:rRNA from 1 species
CAGCCGCCGCGGUAAGACAGAAGAUGCAAGCGUUAUCCGGAAUGAUUGGGCGUAAAGCGUCUGUAGGUGGCUUUUCAAGUCCACCGUCAAAUCCCAGGGCUCAACCCUGGACAGGCGGUGGAAACUACCAAGCUAGAGUACGGUAGGGGCAGAGGGAAUUUCCGGUGGAGCAGUGAAAUGCGUUGAGAUUGGAAAGAACACCAACGGCGAAAGCACUCUGCUGGGCCAACACUGACACUGAGAGACGAAAGCUAGGGGAGCAAAUGGGAUUAGAUACCCGGGUAGUCCCUGUCUCUUAUAC